CGCAAUGGGCGAAAGCCUGACGGAGCGACGUCGCGUGAUCGAUGAAGUCCUUCGGGACGUAAAGAUCUUUUAUGAGGGAAGAAGUUUAUUGACGGUACCUCAUGAAUAAGAGGUUGCUAAACUCGUGCCAGCAGCAGCGGUAAUACGAGUGCCUCGAGCGUUAUCCGGAAUCAUUGGGCGUAAAGGGUGUGUAGGCGGUCAUGUUAGUCUCUUGUAAAAUUCUUCGGCUUAACCGGGGGCGCGCGAGAGAUACGGCAUGACUAGAGGAUGGGAGAGGUGAACGGAACUCAUAGUGUAGGGGUGAAAUCCGUUGAUAUUAUGGGGAACACCAAAUGCGAAGGCAGUUCACUGGCCCACUCCUGACGCUGAGACACGAAAGCGU
rnacentral:rRNA from 1 species